rnacentral:piRNA from 1 species
UAUGAAUAGCGGUUUUUUUCA